AGGUCUCCGUAGGUGAACCUGCGGAGGGAUCAUUACACAAUAACAAGGCGGGUUGGACACCCCCCGCUGGGCACUGCUUCACGGCGUGCGCGGCGGGGCCGGCCCUGCUGAAUUAUUUACCCGUGUCUUUUGCGUACUUCUUGUUUCCUGGGUGGGCUCGCCCGCCCUCAGGACCAACCACAAACCUUUUGCAAUAGCAAUCAGCGUCAGUAACAACGUAAUUAAUUACAACUUUCAACAACGGAUCUCUUGGUUCUGGCAUCGAUGAAGAACGCAGCGAAAUGCGAUACGUAGUGUGAAUUGCAGAAUUCAGUGAAUCAUCGAAUCUUUGAACGCACAUUGCGCCCUUUGGUAUUCCAAAGGGCAUGCCUGUUCGAGCGUCAUUUGUACCCUCAAGCUUUGCUUGGUGUUGGGCGUCUUUUGUCUCCAGUUCGCUGGAGACUCGCCUUAAAGUCAUUGGCAGCCGGCCUACUGGUUUCGGAGCGCAGCACAAGUCGCGCUCUUCGCCAGCCAAGGUCAGCGUCCAGCAAGCCUUUUUUUCAACCUUUGACCUCGGAUCAGGUAGGGAUACCCGCUGAACUUAAGCAUAUCAUA
rnacentral:misc_RNA from 1 species